rnacentral:rRNA from 1 species
AGCUUGUUGGCGGGGUAACGGCCCACCAAGGCAACGAUCAGUAGGGGUUCUGAGAGGAAGGUCCCCCACAUUGGAACUGAGACACGGUCCAAACUCCUACGGGAGGCAGCAGUGAGGAAUAUUGGUCAAUGGGCGAGAGCCUGAACCAGCCAAGUAGCGUGCAGGAAGACGGCCCUAUGGGUUGUAAACUGCUUUUAUAAGGGAAUAAAGUGAGUCUCGUGAGACUUUUUGCAUGUACCUUAUGAAUAAGGACCGGCUAAUUCCGUGCCAGCAGCCGCGGUAAUACGGAAGGUCCGGGCGUUAUCCGGAUUUAUUGGGUUUAAAGGGAGCGUAGGCCGGAGAUUAAGCGUGUUGUGAAAUGUAGACGCUCAACGUCUGCACUGCAGCGCGAACUGGUUUCCUUGAGUACGCACAAAGUGGGCGGAAUUCGUGGUGUAGCGGUGAAAUGCUUAGAUAUCACGAAGAACUCCGAUUGCGAAGGCAGCUCACUGGAGCGCAACUGACGCUGAAGCUCGAAAGUGCGGGUAUCGAACAGGAUUAGAUACCCUGGUAGUCCGCACGGUAAACGAUGGAUGCCCGCUGUUGGUCUGAACAGGUCAGCGGCCAAGCGAAAGCAUUAAGCAUCCCACCUGGGGAGUACGCCGGCAACGGUGAAACUCAAAGGAAUUGACGGGGGCCCGCACAAGCGGAGGAACAUGUGGUUUAAUUCGAUGAUACGCGAGGAACCUUACCCGGGCUUGAAUUGCAGAGGAAGGAUUUGGAGACAAUGACGCCCUUCGGGGUCUCUGUGAAGGUGCUGCAUGGUUGUCGUCAGCUCGUGCCGUGAGGUGUCGGCUUAAGUGCCAUAACGAGCGCAACCCCUCUCCUUAGUUGCCAUCAGGUUAAGCUGGGCACUCUGGGGACACUGCCACCGUAAGGUGUGAGGAAGGUGGGGAUGACGUCAAAUCAGCACGGCCCUUACGUCCGGGGCUACACACGUGUUACAAUGGCAGGUACAGAGAGACGGUUGUACGUAAGUACGAUCAAAUCCUUAAAGCCUGUCUCAGUUCGGACUGGGGUCUGCAACCCGACCCCACGAAGCUGGAUUCGCUAGUAAUCGCGCAUCAGCCAUGGCGCGGUGAAUACGUUCCCGGGCCUUGUACACACCGCCCGUCAAGCCAUGAAAGCCGGGGGCGCCUAAAGUCCGUGACCGUAAGGAGCGGCCUAGGGCGAAACUGGUAAUUGGGGCUAAGUCGUAACAAGGUA